GCUCAUUGCCGUAGCAUACAUUCACACUCUCAAAUCAGUACUGGUCACAUUCAUUCAAAUGUCGAUACUUACCUAUAUUUGAAUUGGAUUAUGUUGUUCUAGAAAAUCAACACACAAUUGGCUCACCUAUAGGUUCGUUAGGUGAACGAUUCGACAUUCAUUUCCAUUUAUGUGUGCUACUUUCUCGUAUGCUAGCAAAACCAUCUAACUUCGAUAGGCCGGCUUUUGUUGUUAUUAUCAUUGGUGUUUAUCUGAUGAAAAAAAUAGCGGCUGCUUGUCCUUUCAAGAGUGUGGACCUCCCACUGCUGCUAUCGCUGCUACGUUCGGGAAUCCUCUCGAUUAAGGCUUGCUUCUCUCGGAUAUUUAGCAUCUAGAUAAUAUUAUACUGCUAUUCAUUUAUUGGCCACGUUCGCCCUUCCGGUUGCAUUGCCCUCCUUGUUGAUACGGAGAAAGACACCGAUUCCUUCUCGUCUCUCGCCUGGCGCCUCAACUCCUUUCACGAAAUGGAGCUUCAACAGUAUCGAGUGCUUCUUUGGAACAAAGAAUAUCGAGAUAUUGCUAUACGUUAGACACUAUGUGCUAUGGCAGUAAGCCAAAACACGGCAGUAACAUAGCGAUGAAUAGAUGCGUUAUUUCCACAGCAGAAUAUGCCCCAGUCUGGCUGGCCUUGGGCUCAAUAAAUUUUUGGUUAAACGUCACUGUGCAGUCAUAUAUAUAGAUAUAUAUCGUCUUAACCGUUCAUUUCUGGGAAGAAUGCUUUGGAGCAAUGUGCCGGCGUCAUCGAUUCUAAGAUACUUCCGUCUAUUCAAGUUGCUAGACUGCCAGUGUUAUAACGCUUAGUUCAGCGGCUUAGAGUAAGCUAUUCAUGAAUGACGAUGGAACGGAAAAAUGGAACGGAGGGACUUUUCCCUUUUAUCUUUUAUUUAUAAAGAAAAACCAUUGGAUCAACGGUUACCAGUUGAUGCUAACGCUUAGGCUGUGGGCUGCCUAUUGCAGCUGUGCAGGCCAACCACAACACCAGCGACAACUGAUCCGGAUCAGAUUUUUUCAAAAAAAAAUUCUUUCUCAAACAUCGAAAGACGUAUAGCGAUCAAGAGGCAUGUAAGCUGGUAGAAAGACACUGUUAUGGGGUAACGGCGACGAUGAUUUGUCGAAAUGUGUUGUACUCCGUGUGGCAACAGCUACCGUCUACCAUCUGAGCGUGUCCUAGACCGGCGAACGAAAGGCCGUAGGCAGAGAAUCGUUAGCGGGACAAUCUUCAAACUGCUACUUGCAGCUAACGCUCAUUGAGCUGACAUAAAUGAGCAAACGGGAAUGCGCUGCUAUGUCUAUGGACCUUCGCUACGAGAUCUUGUUGGCACCAAGUUUUAAGAAACCCUCUAUCCAGUAGAUCUAUUUUCUGUCUUUACUUUCAAUUCAGCCCAGCUGGAAGAAGCGUUGGUUCUGGCCAGUAUGAACCGUAUGAUUCGAUUUUGAUACGUAUAUAUCACUCUGCAAUGAACCAUAAUUAAAUACCUUCGCUUCGGCUAGCCAUUAAAAAAAUGUGUUCCGAUCGAGAUUCUAGGCAACAGGACAUUUAGAUCCUGAACAAUUUCUGAUACUUGUGUAGCCCUAUAGCCAUUCAAUGGCAGAUAGUUUAUUGCAAAAUAUUGAUUAAUGCAUAUACUAUCCAUCGGCUGGGAAAUGCAUAGGUAGUUUGUCAUAUCAAUUUAUAACUCUACCUAGAGUACACUAUGCAUCAUAUAUAACUGAUAGUAUCUUUGAAAUAUAAAAGUCGAAAGCGCUUCUUUUUUUGCUCCCAAAGAUAAUACCGUGUGACAUGGUUGUCUCGUAUUCGAACUCAAUUGCAGAUUCUCAAAAUUUACUAUGUGCUCUUAAUUUUUCAUACAGUCAAGCAGCAUUAUUUUCAUACGAUAACCUGACGUUUACGUAACGACACGGACAUAUUUUCUAGCCACGAGCUUCAACCGUGUUGUUUGUUAUCUGAGUUUAAAAUGAAUAUAGUUCGUCUAUGGCAAACUGAUUUCUUGGAAUAUAUGAUUUAUUCACUUCAAUAGUCCAGUAGAUUUAGUAAGGCCUUCAGGCAAACUCAGGCCUGGAGCGAAGCUGCUUUGAGAAUUUUUCAAGCGAGUUCCUUCACGCAGAACCCCUCUGUUGAUAGUCAACCGUCUUCUUUGUCAGUCCUCCACCCCACCCACCCAUUCCAUUAUAUUUGCUACUUCAAUAGAGACUGAAAUCUGCACGCUCCAUUUCAGCUGCCUACUGCUGUUUCUGCUACUGAAAGUAACGGGACAGUCAUAUUUGCUUGGCACGAAUUCCACAAAGGCAAACAUAAGAUAUCCGAGUAUAGGACACCGGAGUAUAUGACAGCAUCAUCUCAAAAGGGAUCCGUCGCCUAUGACGUGAGCAGAGCGAAGGAGGAGGUCAGAACGGGAUUUUACGCUACAUUCCUUGAGAUUGCUGCCUUUCUGUAAAGCCGACAAGGGCACAUGUGCCUGUUCAAACAAUGCGCCCUCUUGGGUACGUUUUUCGUCGUCGCUUGUUGCUAGUGGAAAAUACAUACAAUAUCUAAGAACAGUACAAUUGCUAUGACUCGAAACAUACAAUAUGUACAGAGGCAGUUAGCGCGCCUGACGUUGUUGAGUACCGGCAAGCAUUCCAGGUAGAAGCUACGAAUUGAAGAGUGAGAUGAAAACGGUCUUUACUUUACUUUCUUAUUUCGCUUUCGGUUUUUGCUUAACACUUAUCUACAGCCAUGUUCUCUGGCGAAUAUAGUUGUAGGUAAGAACUAUACAUAUUAUUCUAAAUACGGUCGGUUCUAUUUUACACCAUGAAUCAUUCUUGAAAUGUUUCAAUAGAGUCUUUUUAACGACAUGGGUUGGCGAAACGCAGACCAGCUGUAGAUUCGUUUGGUCACAUUGUUCUAAUAAUAGACCUUUGUAAAGUAAAGAGAAAGUGUAAAUCUAUUUCAUAUUUAUGUGCGUUUGACGCUUUUCGCUUGCCUACUUGGAUGACUUUUAUACCUAACUAACACGCCAUCAAAUGUAUGAGAUUUGAAUUGAUUUAUAUUUGGAAAGCAUGCUCAGUGUAUUGGGCUGGCUUUCGAAAAACGCGUAUUCUAUUAAAUGUUAUAUCUGCUGAAGGACUUAGUUGUUUAUUCAGUGAAGUGCAUCGAUACCUGCCCAUUGAAGGCUGCUUAGGUUUCCUACGACUGAAGAUCCAUGUGAUACGAUAUAGUGCCGACAGUUUACUUUUAGCGUUUGACAGCCAGCUGAUUAUAAUUCGUCAACAAACGAUUGCGGAAAUGCGAACGAAUACAAUAGACACUUACAAACCCUGCUUCCGACUAAGUGUUCAUUUCCCAGGUAGUUAGCCAUAAUUUUGCAAGCAACGUAAAGUAUGAUUCAAUUUUGUAUGCUUACAGCUUCUUUUUAACCUCUUCUCUCUCUUUCUAGACUAGCCCGACAUAGAAACACGUCUUCAUUUCGGUCAUUUUGUACUAGCCUAUCUCCUCGUUUCGCCCCGCCACCAUUUACACGAAAUGAAUAAACUCAACGUAAACGUUCAUAUCAUGUCCUUCUGGGGUUUCAGCAGCUACGUUCCUUGACACUUACUCGAUCUCUGUAUUUGAACCACGCCCCUGAUAUUAUCAUGUUUCUACCUCUUUUUCUUUCUAUUUCUAUUUUGAGUUUGGCCUGGACAGCGCUCAUCAGCGGCGUUCUGUGGCCGUGUUCAGCAAAAACAAUUUCAGGUUAAGUACCUCUCAGUCUAAACUUAUUCUACGACUGGCCUCUCCCCGAUUGGUUUACGCUAACUCUUCGUUGCCUUCAAAGCCUUUCCUGUCGCUACCUCUACUGGUGCAGCUGGUGUUUCUUCUCAGCCGACGUUGCAGCUGUUAUCACCGCCAGUUCAUGAAAUCUUUGAUCUGAUCUAAGAUUUUAUAAAAAUCUCCAAGUUCUUUUGCUAAGAUUUAUUAGCAUAAAAAUUCGCGGCAAAGCCUCUGCUGAAAUCGUUGAAGUUUCGAUCUCUAAGUCGGUCCUUGCGCGACUUUGCUUCCCCACAAGGAAGGCUUGCUAGAUAUAUGGAUCAUAUCGUGGCGAUAACUGAGACGGACUAAGCACACGUAAUUAAUUAAUUCAUUCAUUGCCAUCGAUGAAGCUUUUUCUGCUGCCCUUGGCGCCGUUCUGCACUAAAACUUCAGCGACGACGAAAUCGUCUUUGAAGAAGGAACCGGCAGUAUUCGCAGCUCCCUAAGGGACCGUUCAUCUGAAUGAACCUAUUCGGAACGGUGCCAGUGACUGAGCGAAUACAAAAACCAAUCGACUGAUUAUUUCGUUCUCGAAAAGAAAAAGCGUCGACUCACGGGCUGACGUUGCGACAGAAAUGAGAUGGGGAUUGGCGAUGAGAGAAACUAAACGAUACUAGAGCUGGUCGACUCGCUGGUAUCGUGCAUCGAAAAGCGCCCGCCAACCGUGGUGUAUUGUAUUUACCUGUUCAGCGCACGGCAAUACGUGGUGAUUCUGAUAAUGACGUGGGUCUAAAAAAAACUUAAUUUAUACCUCCAGCCAGUUCUCCUGUCGAAGUCUUUACUGCGUGUGGGAAAAUAAGCGAAAAUCGUGUAGAGCUAACGGUAAUGGUGUUACGUUCGACAUCCCUUUGAAGAUCUAAUUUGUAAUGCGGUGAUUGCGCGUUUCCAAACUCGCACCGAAAGUAUGCGUAAAGCCAUAUAUUGUUUAUAUAUAUAUAUAUAAACAAUAUAAAGCAAGGUAAACUUGUAAGUAGCCAAUAUGACUACAAACAAUGUAUUGGAAUAGCUUGUUGUGGCUUUCGUCUACGGAAAACUUGGUUUGCCGUAUUUUCAUAAAAGUACGAGACUGCACGAUUUACAGGCGUUUUUGCAAAUUUAAGCCAAAAGACUCGCGUCCUAAGCUUCAACCAAUUGUAUCAACCUAUUGCUUUUCGCGGACACACUAACGGCAUUAAUCCUGCCAUUAUGAUGCAUUAGUUGUCGUUGAAUAAACAUAUCCAAUUGUAUAUAGAUAAAGAAAGCACGCGUAGGCUGUACAUACACAUGAUCACACAGCUCCGGGACUAUUCUCUAGUUUUGCAGAAUUGCCCUCACAUCUGAUUCUUUUUCUGCUUGGAAUUUUCCAACCUAAUCUUUGUCGCACUCACAGGUAGCUGACACGUGAAGACGGUAACGCUAUGCAGAUCACAAUAAGAUAGCUGACUUCCGUAUACGCCUGCACGCGGCAGCUCUGUCUCCGACACAUGAUACACGUCGUGCCGAAUUGUCAGCUUAGUAAGAAGUGCAUACACAAAACGAAGGCGAAGGGGUAUUUCUGACAGCAUACAGACAACACCUUUAUUGCCGGAUUUGACAGUCGCACAUAGCGUGAAGGAUCGUUGGUCCUAUGAGAUGUUUGUCAGCUAAUGAGGACGUCAUCGGUUAUGUGCGCUACGAUGGCUGCCGCCUCACUCAAUAUCAACAGGUUAAAACGAAGUCACACGUCAGAGUAUACCCAGACUCGUCUACGAUGGUCGGCCAUUAGUCGCUAGCAUCUACGAGAUAACACCUAAUAAAUUAAAACGUUGGGUUUAUUUUUUAAUCAAUACCCUAGCGUAUGCCCUCACGUAAAAGUAUA